AACCGACACAGGUGGUCAGGUAGAGAAUACCAAGGCGCUUGAGAGAACUCGGGUGAAGGAACUAGGCAAAAUGGUGCCGUAACUUCGGGAGAAGGCACGCUGACACGUAGGUGAAGUGAUUUACUCACGGAGCUGAAGUCAGUCGAAGAUACCAGCUGGCUGCAACUGUUUAUUAAAAACACAGCACUGUGCAAACACGAAAGUGGACGUAUACGGUGUGACGCCUGCCCGGUGCCGGAAGGGUAAUUGAUGGGG
rnacentral:rRNA from 1 species